AAGUUGGAGGAGAAAAAGUUAGACUCCCUUGACAAGGUUGGAAGAAUCCCUUGGGACUAAAAAUGCCCACACAGUUUAGUCAUUGCUAUUUAUUUCCUAGUUAUUUUAAUAAGUAAUACUU
rfam:Mesocricetus auratus contig052696, whole genome shotgun sequence.